AAUAACACUCUCUGAAAUAGAAUUCACUCCAAUGCUUUAAGGGUGCAGUUCAUAAGUUAGUGCUUUCUUGAUUCUCAAAACUUGCGGCAUCAAGAGAAUCAACUAUGGAAACAAAAGUUGCAGAAAUUUAAAGCGGCACUGUUUUGCCGAACUUGUCUUUCCUGGAAAUAGUUUUACUGCAUGCACUUUGGCAGAAUUAAAAAAUAUUUAUUGCAUUGUUUAACG